rnacentral:lncRNA from 1 species
UUUUUGCAGUCAGUUAUUAGCCCCCCCCCAAUCAUUAUUUUUCAACCCCAGACAUCCUCUUUAUCUUUAAUCACUUUUCCUAACUCACUCCUCUAUCACUGUGAUCAUUAUUCUCACUGUUCUGAAUUAAUACACCUACUUUUUGGAAGGUGACUUCAGUAUCUUAAGUUUAAUGCUCCCUUGAAAGUAAAACACACUAACAUCUGUUUUACAUUUUACUGAAACGUUACAUUGCAAUCUUGUAAAUAAAACCAAAUUAACCUACUGUUUUAACAAUGGUUAUUGUUACUUUGCACUUUUCCUUUUUCCUUUUGAAGCAUUUGAAGUACUGAUAUUUUUGUCUACUCGGUGGCAGUUUGUAGGAAGUGUUGUGCUAAAUACUUCCUCUGCACUGUCCUAGCUGCCAUUCCUGCAGCAUGUGUGUGAGCAUUCUAACUCCCAUUUCACAUCUGGGGAAACUAAGGUUCAGAGAAGUUUAAUCAGUUUGCCUAACCUCUGGCUCCAGAGACUACUCACCUUUUUAUGGGCGAGUAAUUUCAAAGAAUCUGCAGCAACUUUUAUAAGUUCCAGACUUCAGCAGACCCUCCUGGUAAAGACAUGAGACCUUGUUCGGUGGCUGUGCAGAGCCACCCUCCUGCCACCCAAAUGGAAAUACUUCACAGUUGCUCUGAAAAUAGGAGCUGCUAAGUCUGUCACAUUCAGAGGGAGAUUUCACAGUCCUCUAAGUUCAAGGUAAUUUCUUUAACUUUUUCCCCAUCAACUUUCAGGAUCUUGUGUAAUUUGGGUGGAUGUAACUGCUUUUUUCCUUAAUUCCAAUCCAUCAUUCUGAUCCAUCAAUCUGUCUCCUCUUGCAUUGUAGGUCACACUACUGAGGUUAUCUUAAUGAUGGGUGACACUUUCCCAGAGAAAGUAGUUGUCUUUUGUUUUCCUUGUGACUUUCUUCUUGUUAAAAAGUCAUUCAUGCACCAUGCACCACCUGAUGCCUAGGCCAAUUUUCAGCAGUUAGUUUUUCCCAUGGUCUAUCCUGCUCACUGGCUGAGAAUCAGAGAACCCAAUGGCUGAACAGAUGACUGCUUGCAAACUUUCCAGAUCUGUGACUCAGGUCUUGAGCCAGUAUGGUAAGUCUCAAAAAUUUAAGUGUCAUUCUCUCCACAGAGUUGUUUGUAAAAGAUCUUGUCCACCUCAUUUCUAAGGCACUUGGUGACUAUUACUAAAAGCACUAUUUCAAGAAAAACAGAGAAAAAUUCCAGUUUACUAAAUGUUAGGGUCUGUUUAAUUUUGGAAAUUUUUACAAUAUAGGGUGAUUUACAAAACUCUCUGCCACAAUACACUGCUUAAAGUGAUAAACCAGCUUUCAUGCAUCUUAGCUACCUUAUAUUAAAGGCAGACUUGGCUCAUUCCUGUUCAUGACUAAACCUCUCUUUCUCAAGGGUUGGAUUAUGUCCAUUCUGAAACCUUAACUACAAAUGGUUUUGUGCUGCCUGUUUCAGGAAACAGCAAUCAUGUUUUGUUUCAAAAAACUGUGAUGAUCAUCUUGCAAUCCUACCUUUGUUUCAAAAUGUUAUUAUAACUACUUGUUGCUAUGACUAUAUUUGCUAUGACUGCCUUGUUACUGUUGGGAGCUAUUAAGACAACACAAUUGUCCUGAUCUCUGAAUUGGGCCUCUCUCCCCGAGAAGAAAAGAGGGUCAAAAGCGGGCCACCGAUGCACUGCUCUGAGAACAACCACAGAUUGUUCCAGCCCUAAGUCAGCCCCGGAUGUCCUGACCUCAAGAUGUACCCUGAUACCGCCAAGUUCCUGCUUCCCCUUGUAGUCGCCAAAAGAAAAAUUUCCCCUGCCCCAUCCCUCCUGCUGAGAAGUACUUCCUCUUUUUCCACUGCCCCAUCCCUCCUGCUGAGGUGCAUUUCUGCUGCUCCAUUUUUCCUGCUCAGAAGUACUUCCCCUUUUGCUUCUGCAUUUAAAUCUUGAGCCUUGCUAAUACAGUGAGACCUUGAUGUUACUCAGACUGCUUCCGUGUGUCAUUCAUUGCAUAAGGUUCUCAUCUCUCUCUACCCCCCAUUUGGUUCUUAGUAGAAGGUACCCUCGAGACCCUCGAAUAACUGGACCUGCUGGAUGGGUCAAGUGGCGCCAGACGUGGGGCACGAGGUACGACCACCGUCCGGAC